rnacentral:rRNA from 1 species
UACAGAGGGUGCGAGCGUUGUCCGGAAUCACUGGGCGUAAAGGGCGCGUAGGCGGCCCGGUAAGGUUGCGGUGAAAGCCCGGGGCUCAACCCCGGGUCGGCCGUGGCAACUGCUGGGCUGGAGCACAGUAGAGGCGGGUGGAAUUCCGGGUGUAGCGGUGGAAUGCGUAGAUAUCUUUUGGAACGCCAAUGGUGAAAACAACUCGCUGGGGGUGUGCUGACGCUGAGACACGAAAGCCAGGGGAGCGAACGGG